rnacentral:rRNA from 1 species
UUAAUAUUACACGGUAUUUAAAAGAAAAUUCCUUUUUCUUACCUUUUUCCCUUCUCUACUUCUACUACGACUUCGUGCUCACGCUCUCUCCGAUCGUUUUGAAUAUCGUUCCUUACCACGUCUGAAACUUGCAAAACCCAGGAUUUUAUAUUUACUUCUAGGAUCUCCGGCUCGGUCAGUUACUGUUUGAUUGUCCUCCUUCGCGUGACGUAUUUACGGAUGACAACUUCGUUGAGCUCAAGAAUCCAGGUUUUGCUGAUCUCUACAACUUCUGUUUAUGUACCGUUUUCGUCCUUACACUGGUGUUCGUUCGAUCCUCCAAAGGCUUUCCGUGUGUUCAACUGCCUGCGAACUUUCUGGAAGUUCGGCAACUUCUAAACCUUCUGGACAUUAAUUCAACCACCCCACUAUUACAGUAUACGGAACAACUUGUACAUCUGAACGAGACGGGUAAAACCAACACACCGUG